rnacentral:rRNA from 1 species
UGGGGAAUAUUGGACAAUGGGCGCAAGCCUGAUCCAGCAAUGCCGCGUGUGUGAAGAAGGCCUUCGGGUUGUAAAGCACUUUUAUCAGGAACGAAAACCUGCCGGUCAAUACCCGGCGGGCCUGACGGUACCUGAGGAAUAAGCACCGGCUAACUUCGUGCCAGCAGCCGCGGUAAUACGAAGGGUGCAAGCGUUAAUCGGAAUUACUGGGCGUAAAGGGUGCGUAGGCGGUUCGUUAAGUCUGUUGUGAAAUCCCCGGGCUCAACCUGGGAAUGGCAAUGGAUACUGGCGAGCUAGAGUGUGUCAGAGGAUGGUGGAAUUCCCGGUGUAGCGGUGAAAUGCGUAGAGAUCGGGAGGAACAUCAGUGGCGAAGGCGGCCAUCUGGGACAACACUGACGCUGAAGCACGAAAGCGUGGGGAGCAAACAGGAUUAGAUACCCUGGUAGGCCACGCCCUAAACGAUGCGAACUGGAUGUUGGGCUCAACUAGGAGCUCAGUGUCGAAGCUAACGCGUUAAGUUCGCCGCCUGGGGAGUACGGUCGCAAGACUG